GACGAACGCUGGCGGCGUGCCUAAUACAUGCAAGUCGAACGCAGUGGGGACGGGGGAGUAACACGUGGGAAACCUCCCAUCAGAGGGGAUAACACUUGGAAACAGGUGCUAAACCGAUACUGAUGGAUGAACCCGCGGUGCAUUAGCUAGUUGGGGAGGUAACGGCUCACAAAGGCCAAGAUGCAUAGCCGACCUGAGUGGGUGAUGGCCCACACGUGGACUGAGUCACGGCCCAUACUCCUACGGGAGGCAGCAGGAGGGAAUCUGCGGCAAUGGACGAAAGUCUGACCGAGCGACGCCGCGUGAGUGAAGAAGGUUUUCGGAUCGUAAAACUCUUUUGUUAGAUAAGCGGUAUCUAACCAGAAAGCCACGGCUAACUACGUGCCAGCAGCCGCGGUAAUAC
rnacentral:rRNA from 1 species